GGGCUUGUAGAUCAGUCCGGUAGAUCGUCCGCUUUGCAAGCGGAAGGCCUCGGGUUCAAAUCCCGACAAGUCCA
rnacentral:tRNA from 1 species